CGGCGGACGGGUGAGUAACACGUGGGUAACCUACCUAUAAGACUGGGACAACUUCGGGAAACCGGAGCUAAUACCGGAUAAGAUAUCGAACCGCAUGGUUCGACAGUGAAAGAUGGUUUUGCUAUCACUUAUAGAUGGACCCGCGCCGUAUUAGCUAGUUGGUGAGGUAACGGCUCACCAAGGCAACGAUACGUAGCCGACCUGAGAGGGUGAUCGGCCACACUGGAACUGAGACACGGUCCAGACUCCUACGGGAGGCAGCAGCG
rnacentral:rRNA from 1 species